GCUGCCCUGAGACAGGUUGUCCUCCAGGUCGCUCUGGCAACCCUCGUCGUUGAGCGAACUCUGUUUGGUCACCUUAGGCGACAGCAGCUUAACCAGGUCGCCCAGU
rfam:Monodelphis domestica chromosome 5, whole genome shotgun sequence.